CCCUAUGAUUCUAUGAUUUAUUACAUUUUUAUAGUGCCUUUCAUUCAAAGAUCACAGGGCAGUUCUGAACAUAGACAAAAUGAGAACAAAAAAUUAGAAGCUGAAAGUAGAAUUUAACUUACAAGAACAUUAUCAUUUCCCAGAACACAAAAAUGUGUGCCAUUUGCUGACAAAACAAGGUUCUUCACUCCAAAUUUCUUAUUCCAAAGGGGACCACCCUUCCAUUUGACAAUUUUAUGUGAAAUACUUAAAAAUAAAAAAGCAAAUAGAUCAGCCUAUGUCUCUGUUCAUAAAUUUUCAUAAACAUACACUGUUUAUUCAGUCUGCUUGUAUUUCCUUUUUUCACCCAAUCAACUGCUAGCAUUCCUAGCUGAAUGAACUUUCGCUAUUCUAUUUUUAGAAGUUGAUGGUGCAAAAAGAAGAAAACAGUACCCUGUGACUUGUGUCUAACCCUGUUAGGCUCUUUUCCACUUUUCAGUCAAUUACUGGGAGUCAGGUAUUUUCAAAACAGGUGUUUGAAAUUGUUCUAGGAUACAUAAAUACUUUUUCUUCCGACCAGCAGUGACUUCUUCAAUAAUCAUAUAAGUAACACCUUCAGACACCCAGGGGUUUCUACAGAACAUGGUUUAUGUCAUGUACUUUUUUUAAUUAAAAAAAUCCUAUUAAAACUUGCUAGCUGUGUGACAAUUUGAAAUACAGCUUGGCCCUCCUAGAGUUGGUUUCCCCUCCACCCCUUACCACACAGAACUUUAAAAGUCAUGCUUAAGGUUACAUGUUUCUUUGCAGCCACCUAGUCUAUGGCAUUACCUUUAAACUACCACAUGGUGUCAUUAUAAGCAUGAUGAUGAUGUUUGCUCAGUACUAAAUAUUCACAUGCAGCCUUGAUCAAAAGUGAUGUGUAACUUACAUAUCUUUAAUUUUGUAUGCUCAGAGAUUUCUCUUCCAUGUCAGAGUUCAGAUUGCAGAGAUUCUGUGUCAAGCAAUGCCACAUUCAAUGACGUGAGUAAAAUAUAACACAAAUACACUUAUUUUAGUCCUAGGUAAGCAACUGAAUCACACAGCACCAAAACUGAGCUAUCUGAAACCCACAACUCAUAUUGCUAAGACUUUACAAUAGCAUUUAAAUAUUAUUUCGCAGAUACAAAUGCAGAACAUUGGGAGGUGGGAUAAUGGUGGCGAAGGCUUAAAUUCUCAAGAGUUGUGUGCCAGACAUCUAAAGUUACACUUGAAUUACACUGCACAGCUGUGACUGCAGACAUUUAGUAGGCACGCAGCCUUACACAUGUUCCUUUCUGCCCACUUGGUACUGUUCUGUGUUUUACGGACAUGGGAGUGGGGGCAGCACUGAUUCUGGUGACUCUACCUUGUUCAACUGCAGCAUACCUCCCCAGCUCCUAUCUAGUAGCUCAACUUGAAUACAAUGGGACAAUGGCUCAGGAAACACACAGACCUCAACCCCGUGAGGGCUAUAUUUAGGAAUCCAAAUAAUCAGAACCAUUUCAUGUAUGUAUUGGGCAUGCGUGCUCAGGGCCCAUGCAGUCGCUCCCAAUACCCUCUGAACUAUAAGGCCAUUGGAAGGAGAGCAAUGUUGUCGAGCUAGUUGCUAGGUGCUGGUUGCUAGGUUACAUGCUGCUAGACUUCAGCUUUCUGCAUUCGUCAAGUUCCCAACUUCAGUUCCUUAAAUAAAUGAAUGGUUCGUUCCUUUUGGACAUCUAGUUCUGCUUGCUACCAUCAGCCAGCAAGCAGUGCCCCGUUGGUUGGGACAGGGAAACCUUUCGUCAGUAAAUCCACCUCUGUAUCUUCAGAGAAGAUGGGUCGUCUCCCCCUAGGGAUUGUUUCUCCCUAUGUAAAAACUAGCUCUGGUGGGUGUAUGGACCCCAUGAAAUUCUACUGUACCAGCUAUGGCACAGCUUAUGGUCAAGCAGGGUUUCGUCCUCGGACCAGCAUCCACUCUGGAGCAGGAUAUAAAACCAAUUACCGUCCCGUCGUCCACUACAAGCCAAGCCUAGACAAAAUAGAUAAUCCAACUGUGGGGAAGCUCCUUCAGGACAAUUAUGAAUCGACAACAACCAAGCACUUCCAGCCUCUUGAGCUCCCAGAUGGGAAAUAUCCUCUUCCCUGGAGUGUGUACCAGCCAGGGAGUGGGUAUGUUCGAGAAAAACCUCUUUCUUUCCCCACCACUAAAGAGGUCAAGAAAGUCCAUUUUGACACAGCAGACCAGGGAGCCCAAGCUAUAACAGGGUUGGAGCCUAAACAUACCCCUGACCUGCACAAGUUGUAUGGAAGAGGUUCUGUCGAUGUGGAACAUGCCAGACAUGGACCUCACUACAUGUCCACGGAGUACAACUCAAAGUACCGCUUUGACAUUCCAGGACAACCAGAUUUCCUGCAGAAGAAAACAAUUGGAGCCAAAGAAGAGACUGGUUUUACUGAAGGCUGCCUGGCAAACCCCAUUAUGGACAAAUCUCAGAGCAGCGCUCCAGGAGUCAGCAUUACCAAGACAGAUUAUCUGCCAUCUUCCUUUGCACAUGGUGAUGAGUUCCUACCAGUCCUGUCAAAGGGUUCUGAGAGGGGAUCUGGAUUCAGUCGGCAGAAUCUUGGCCGUACCCCAACGGUUCCACCAGAUGUAGAGGCACCAGGUCCCCUGAGCCACUCUCAGUUCCAAGGGCUUCAGCAUCAACCUCAGACACAGAACAAUCUUCUAGGUCGGGAACAAGUGGGUCACAAGGAACCAACAGGAUUCAGCCUCAAUAACCUUAAAUAUGUGACACCUGCACAUGAUCCAGAUCUGCCCAACAGAUUCCUGACUAGCUAUAACUCCAAGUUUUAUGAAAACAUUCCAAAGGGAGUGGAUAGGGAAGGCUGGACACGAGGAGGGAUCCAGCCACAGCAGCCUGGUGGUUUUGCUACUAACAACCAUGCCACUGACUUAGGCACUGACCCCAAUGCCACAGAGACCUUGAGGACAAUCCAUCCUCAUGUUGGCAGGACAAUUACAACAGUUGAUCCAUUCUAUCGUGAUUCUCCCCAUGACCGCCGCUUUGCUGCUCUCCAUCAGACGACUGUGCCCAACUAACCUCUGUUCCAAACUGGACCCCACACUGAUAUCUUUGGGCCUCAGAACAAUACCCCACAUGCUAAGGAAGGAGCAACAGUGAUAGCGCUGUCACAUCAUUCAUAUUUUACUGUUAAAGGUGCAAUGCACACCAUUUCAGCUCUGGUUCUCAGUUUUCUGCCCAGUAUUAAUAGGAGUCACAGUGUACUGCUUUCCUUUUUCCAUUUCUCACAUUUCUCUCUGUGGAUGAGUUUUCACUCCUAGUCAAUGUUUCAUGAGCUGGUGGCACAGGCUGCUCCAACACUGAAAAGAAAUACUUCUCUCAAAUGUACCACACACGUUGCAGCUUUAAGCUCAGCGUAAUGAUAUCUGGCAUCAGAUCAGUUUCUCAUUGUGCCUUGGAAUGUGACAGCAUGUCUGAUCUCUUCUUCAAACCAGGAGGAAACUGAGAUGGUUCUGCCACAUACACACCUCAGCAUGUUGUUGUCCUAGGACCUAGAUAGAACUCUCCUUGAACUUAGUUGGUGCAUGGAAUGCAUUUGUUGCUUGAUAAUGAAAGAGUUUAAUGCAAGCCAAGAUGAUUCAAAAAUGGGGCAAAAGGAAUGGCUGGUUUUUGCAUGUGUGUAUAUAAAGAGCUAGCAUGGCUAUAGCUUUUAGGACAGCUUUUGGGAUGGGAAAAGAAAGCAGUAAAAAAGCAAUUUAAUUUAAAUCCUUAGUUCAUUAAGGGUACUAUCAGGUUCUCUCUGUGGCCUCAUGGUGUGACUGUAAUAUUGCAAGCAAAGGUUUUCAUUAGCCUGAUGCCUCUGAGUGCCAAUAAAAUGUUUCCUUACUUUUAACUUUUUGCUCCAAAACUUUCUUUCAGCCAUCCAUAGUUUAACUUCUUUGAAAUUUUUAGAUUGUUAUCUGAUGCCACCUCUUUCCUUUCCUAGUGAAGCUAUGCGGGGCUAACUCCAUUAGAAGCUCGCCUUUAAAAACCAUUUCCUUCUGCUCUUUGAUCAUUUCUGGGCUUGGGUUUUGUUUUGCUUUCAAGGUCCUCCUCUCACUUGUCAGCCAGCACAUGACUAGAAGAGUCCUGUACGCGAGGAUCAUCUCCUCCCUCUUUCAUAACCCUGACACCUUCAUCUUUGUGUACACCCUGCAGAACUGCACUCUCUUCUAGGCUGUUCUCUUACAUAUCUAAUGCGCUGCCUGAGCCUCCCUCUCUGCUCUCUCCCUCCCACUGAAUAUCUGUGUUUAUAUUUCCCCAGAUGGAUUAGUUGCAUUUUCUGAAGAUAGGCAGCCCAUGCUGUUUCUUGUCUUCAACUUUUGAGUGAGUAGGGGGUUCUUGUCCCAAAUUGUGUUUUGUUCUACACACUUGAGAGUGGGUGGGGAGGAGUGUCUUCCACAUUUGUAGAAGCCUAUAUAACAUAUGCUGCUGCUGCUAUGUGUGCGUGUGCGCAAGGGGGAGGGGCAGAGGUACAGAUCUGGACACACUGGGCCAAAAGGGUUCCCCAUUCCACUGUAUGUGGUGUACUGGAUGACAAUGGUGGCAAUUUCCUGAAAAACGGGCUACUGCUUCAUGGUUAGCUAUACAUAGGAAAUAUAGAAGCUGCCUUACACUUGGUCCAUCUAGCUCAAUAGUGUCUACAUGGACUGGUGGCAGCAUUCCAUGGUUGCAGGUAGAAGUAUCUCCCAGCCUCAUCUGGAGAUGCUGGCAAUUUAACCUGGGAUCCUUGCCAUGCAAAACAGAUGCUCUACCACUUAGCCAUGGACUCUACUAUACUAGAGGGAAGUUUAAAAUGGGUAUGAAUAUAUGGAUCAGAUCUGUAACAUCAGCUGGUAACUAUGUCUGCAGAAGGCAGAGAAGUCUACAUAUAGCUCUGGAAAAAGAAUCCCCAUCACCUUUACAACCAUCUGGAGUGAGAAUAAUUCAGAGCGAGUGUCACUCAUGACGAUGGAGAUAUAGAUAUAUGACUGAGGGGGAGUUGGUACUGAAAUAACAAGCCUACCAAUGGGGAUACAUUAAUAUAGUUCAUGGGGAAUAAGGCAGUACUGAUCUGUGUGCUAAGCAAACUCUGUGUAUAGAACUCUGAGGUUCUGAUGUGCCUGCAAAUAAAGUUAAUGGAAAAACAACUGCUCAUUUUUAUGGGAGCUAGACCAAGAUCUGAAAGAGCCUU